rnacentral:rRNA from 1 species
CCUACGGGUGGCAGCAGUGGGGAAUAUUGGACAAUGGGGGGAACCCUGAUCCAGCCAUGCCGCGUGUGUGAAGAAGGCCCUCGGGUUGUAAAGCACUUUCAGUGAGGAAGAACGCCUGGUGGUUAAUACCCAUCAGGAAAGACAUCACUCACAGAAGAAGCACCGGCUAACUCCGUGCCAGCAGCCGCGGUAAUACGGAGGGUGCGAGCGUUAAUCGGAAUUACUGGGCGUAAAGCGCGCGUAGGUGGCUUGAUAAGCCGGUUGUGAAAGCCCCGGGCUCAACCUGGGAACGGCAUCCGGAACUGUCAAGCUAGAGUGCAGGAGAGGAAGGUAGAAUUCCCGGCGUAGCGGUGAAAUGCGUAGAGAUCGGGAGGAAUACCAGUGGCGAAGGCGGCCUUCUGGACUGACACUGACACUGAGGUGCGAAAGCGUGGGUAGCAAACAGGAUUAGAUACCCGAGUAGUC